GCACUGGUAGUUCUGUGGUAGAAUUCUCACCUUCCAUGCGAGAGACGUGGGUUCGAUUCCCGGCCAAUGCG
rnacentral:tRNA from 1 species